rnacentral:misc_RNA from 1 species
UACGUAGGACCCAAGCGUUAUCCGGAGUGACUGGGCGUAAAGAGUUGCGUAGGCGGUGAUUUAAGCGAGUAGUGAAACCUGGUGGCUCAACCAUUCAGACUAUUACUCGAACUGAAUCACUUGAGAAUGGUAGAGGUAGCUGGAAUUUCUAGUGUAGGAGUGAAAUCCGUAGAUAUUAGAAGGAACACCGAUGGCGUAGGCAGGCUACUGGACCAUUUCUGACGCUGAGGCACGAAAGCGUGGGGAGCGAACCGG